UUACUUUGGUUGGUCGCCGGCUUCUUAGAGAGACUAUCAACUCAAGUUGAUGGAAGUUUGAGGCAAUAACAGGUCUGUGAUGCCCUUAGAUGUUCUGGGCCGCACGCGCGCUACACUGACAGAGCCAACGAGUUCUUCACCUUGUUCGAAAGAAUUGGGUAAUCUUGUUAAACUCUGUCGUGCUGGGGAUAAAGCAUUGCAAUUAUUGCUUUUCAACGAGGAAUGCCUAGUAAGCGCGUGUCAUCAGCAUGCGUUGAUUACGUCCCUGACCUUUGUACACACCGCCCGUCGCU
rnacentral:rRNA from 1 species